rnacentral:rRNA from 1 species
UUGGAGGGCAAGUCUGGUGCCAGCAGCCGCGGUAAUUCCAGCUCCAAUAGCGUAUAUUAAAGUUGUUGCAGUUAAAAAGCUCGUAGUUGAAUUUCGGGAUCAAUAUAUCGGUCGUGCCUUUGGUACGUACUGGUAUCAUUGAUUUCUCCCUUCUGACGAAUCAUGAUGUCAUUAAUUUGGUGUUAUGAGGAGUUAGGACUGUUACUUUGAAAAAAUUAGAGUGUUUAAAGCAGGCAUUAGCUCGAAUACAUUAGCAUGGAAUAAUGAAAUAGGACGUUUGAUCCUAUUUUGUUGGUUUUUAGGAUCGACGUAAUGAUUAAUAGGGAUAGUUGGGGGCAUUAGUAUUCAAUUGUCAGAGGUGAAAUUCUUGGAUUUAUUGAAGACUAACUACUGCGAAAGCAUUUGCCAAGGAUGUUUUCAUUAAUCAAGAACGAAAGUUAGGGGAUCGAAGACGAUCAGAUACCGUCGUAGUCUUAACCAUAAACUAUGCCGACUAGGGAUCGGAUGAUGUUAAUUUUAUAAUGACUCAUUCGGCGCCUUACGGGAAAC